UAAUUUUUUUUUCAUGCUAAAUUAAAGGUGUAGUUCAUCCAAAAGUGAAAACACUGUACAUUUAUUCACCCUCAUGUCAUUCUAA